UUUAGUACUUAACUGCAACCCUAUGACUGAUUUCCCAAUCUAUUCAUCAGGAUUUAUGAACAACAAAUUGGCUCAGACUUCUCAGACAAUUAAGAAAAUUAUUCUAAGAGUUGUCAUUCCAGACAGGAAACAGGAGAAAAUUAUAGAGAUUAUGAACAACGAUUUGUUGUGGGAUGCUAAACUGCGAAUUCUUCAAAGUGGUGAUUUGGUUGGCUUUUUUAGAUUAUUUUUAGUGUCUAAGAGAGCCAUUAAAUUAUGGGUUCUUUAUGAAUCCUAGAAAUGGCCGUUCUGGGAAAUUUCUGGACGAGUGGAGGCCUGCAUCGCACUAUUCAUUCGAAACACCACUAGACCACAUUGAAUUUAUUAAAAAACGGAGACUAUACAAAAAUUCUGGAUUAAGUGAGGUUAAAGUCAAGAAACUGCGAAGCAAAGUAAAGCCAAC